CAACCGCAAUUUUAUUAUUUUCGGGGAUGUAAUCCCCUGUGUUUCAAAUCGUGUGUUGCAGAAUGCAUCCACGAUAAUUUCUUAAUAUAAUUUAAAAUAAUCACACAUGAGAAAUUCCCUAAAUUCUAUUCGGAUGAGGGUAUUGGGUUGCUGAGGGCUGCGAGCGAAGCUCAAAUUAGUGAACAGCCUUCAUGCGGGAUUUCAUAUUUCAUAUUUUACAUUUUAUAAUUUAAACAUAAUAUUUUGAUGAUAUUUCAUAUAUUUUAAUUUCUCUUCAUUUCGUAUGAAAUAUUUGUCCUUUCUAAACUGCUGAUCUCUUCGCAUUUCCUCCUUGUCAUCAAACCUCUGUCUCUGCAAGAGUUUGAACGCUUACCUGUCGAAGAGAUGCAAGAGCUUCAUCUGGCACUGCGCGCUUGAGGCCGUGGAGGACGCUGCUUGGAGCCUAAAAGUGUGCGAGACCCGUUGGACCCCGGAAGAAGAGAGGAACGUUCAGGGUAACGGCUUAUAACCGCAUGGCUUCCAAGGUACCCACUUUUCCAUCCUUCAAGUAGGAGUCUUUCCGACCUGAUAUCGUGCAGUUAUCUUAACUAUUAGAGUCUUUUAAUAUUUAGGCUGAGUUUUAAGAAAUUUGUAGUGGCAAUAAUAUUCACCAAACCGAACCUAAUUAACGACCCUGAAUCCCUUGAGAUUGGCACUAUCUAUUACAGUAGUUAUAAUAUCGUAACUGUCAACUGUAUUCAAGCUUACGAGACAAAAAUAAAUUGUGUCAAUUGAGAGGGAGCUGUUUUAUUUACAUUUUUUUAAUCUCAUACAAGGAACGGUAACUCUUAUAAAUUUCUGCAAGCCGGACAACCUCUUUUUCACGUGCAGACAAUUCACCAUCUUCUCAGUCUGCACCGGUGGCGGUUCAAUUCCAGUCACCAAGCCGCCAGGAAAAAUCCUUUCUUGCAGUGGCGCCCCUCUUUGGUGUUUAUUAUUGCCAUCCUUUUUAUGAAGUUUAUGGGUGG